AGAGUUUGAUCAUGGCUCAGAUUGAACGCUGGCGGCGUGCCUAACACAUGCAAGUCGAGCGGUAACAGGUGUAGCAAUACAUGCUGACGAGCGGCGAACGGGUGAGUAAUGCUUUGGAAUCUUCCCAGUAGUGGGGAAUAACCAGUCGAAAGAUUGGCUAAUACCGCAUACGUCUGUAAAGGGAAAGCGGGGGCUCGUAAGACCUCGCGCUAUUGGAUGAGCCAAAGUCGGAUUAGCUUGUUGGUGGGGUAAUGGCCUACCAAGGCGACAAUCCGUAGCUGGUCUGAGAGGACGACCAGCCACACCGGAACUGAGACACGGUCCGGACUCCUACGGGAGGCAGCAGUGGGGAAUAUUGGACAAUGGGGGAAACCCUGAUCCAGCGACGCCGCGUGUGUGAAGAAGGCCUGCGGGUUGUAAAGCACUUUUAGUGGGGACAAAAAGCUACGGAUUAAUACUCUGUGGUCUUGAUUUAACCCAAAGAAAAAGCACCGGCUAACUCUGUGCCAGCAGCCGCGGUAAUACAGAGGGUGCGAGCGUUAAUCGGAAUUACUGGGCGUAAAGCGCGCGUAGACGGUUUUGUAAGUCAGAUGUGAAAUCCCUGGGCUCAACCUGGGAACUGCAUUUGAGACUGCAUGGCUAGAGUAUGGAAGAGGGAAGUGGAAUUUCCGGUGUAGCGGUGAAAUGCGUAGAUAUCGGAAGGAACACCAGUGGCGAAAGCGACUUCCUGGUCCAAUACUGACGUUCAUGUGCGAAAGCGUGGGGAGCAAACAGGAUUAGAUACCCUAGUAGUCC
rnacentral:rRNA from 1 species